rnacentral:rRNA from 1 species
CUCCCUCGUUGCUGACCCCCAGGUUCGAUAGUGCCAAUUAGACACCACCUCGCCAAGAACCAACUUCGAUGAAGCGACGGGCGGUGUGUGCAAGGAG